rnacentral:rRNA from 1 species
AGUGAACGCUGGCGGUAGGCCUAACACAUGCAAGUCGAACGGCAGCACAGGAGAGCUUGCUCUCUGGGUGGCGAGUGGCGGACGGGUGAGGAAUACAUCGGAAUCUGCCCAGUCGUGGGGGAUAACGUAGGGAAACUUACGCUAAUACCGCAUACGACCUUCGGGUGAAAGAGGGGGAUCGCAAGACCUCUCGCGAUUGGAUGAGCCGAAGUCGGAUUAGCUAGUUGGCGGGGUAAUGGCCCACCAAGGCGACGAUCCGUAGCUGGUCUGAGAGGAUGAUCAGCCACACUGGAACUGAGACACGGUCCAGACUCCUACGGGAGGCAGCAGUGGGGAACAUUGGACAAUGGGCGCAAGCCUGAUCCAGCCAUACCGCGUGGGUGAAGAAGGCCUUCGGGUUGUAAAGCCCUUUUGUUGGGAAAGAAAUCUUUCAGGCUAAUACCCUGGGAGGAUGACGGUACCCAAAGAAUAAGCACCGGCUAACUUCGUG